UCCACACUAUAGCUAGGUCAAUUUAACAUUCACCCAACCUUACAAAUUGAAAUCUUAAAUAAUAAAAUAUUACUAGUCUCACAAUUCAAAAUAGAUUAACAAAAGAAAUUAUAAUACAUAGAAGUGAGAACUUGGUUCAAAAAGACAAUUCAAAAUGAAUCAGACAAUUCAAAAUGUUAGGAGUCCCUUUGACUUUGAGCACUUCAAAAUAACUAAAAAGUGUAUCUCUUGCUCUAAGUCCCUUGAGCACUUGGUUCUUCAUCCAAGUGUAUCUCUUCUACUUCUACCACAUCUGUGAGUCAUAAUACAAGAAAAGUGAGAAAUCAAUGACUAAAAUGUAAAUGCAAAUUGCAAAUAAAAGUGAAA
rnacentral:lncRNA from 1 species